GUGCACUUAAUAUUUAAAUCAAGCCAGAAAUAGUGACGAAUCGUAUUAAGCUUGAUAAAUUAAUGUGCUGUUGUUGUAUAGUUCAAUAAGCUUCUUCAGCAGCUUUUCAAUCUUCGGCUCAUCCUUUUGCAUAUCGGCCACCACCAAAUAAUAAGUAAUGACAGCCAUCAAUAUCUGGAAGUACGUAAGUUAUCAAAACAGAAUUAACCAGUGACAUUUAAUUUCAUCAAGUGAAGUUGGAUCAUACCGUUUGAAUUGUGCGAUAAGUCACAUAAAAGUAAUCCAUGCCUUUCAGGCGGAUGCAGUUUUCGGACACGGUAAUCAACUCAAGGGCCAAAUCUUCCCCUUCCGCGUAGGUGGCUCUGUCCGACUUAAUUCUUUCCCACAAGUUGUCAGCCUUUUCAAAUUAAAUUUAUGUAAACUAAAUAGUUAAUUUCCCCUAAUGCUAAUUUUUCUCACAUUUGCUGCGGCUUCAGCAGCCAGAAGAAUGUGACCCAGCUUCAUUGUCAUGAUACAGCAAUCUAGCCAUGGUAUGUCUUCCAAGUUUUUUGCAUUGCUAAACCGAUCGAGUACUAGCACCCCGUAAGGGACCAUUUGGAUGACGCUGGCCAUUAACAACGGCCCGAUGGCAGAGUUGACAUCAUGCAUAUGGGCUUUGACGCUCCGGAAGAUUUCAUUUUUCUGAAAACAAGUUUAGUUUUUACUCGAGGAUCUUAUAAUUGUAACGAAAUAUUGCCAACCUUCUUCACAUCCAGGGGCACAUCGUUGUUGAAAAGCAUUGCUCGGAGAGUCCUCUCCAUCGAGUAGCAUGACCCUGACGUUCCCCACAGGGUUAAAUCAAUGUGGAACAGUUGCAAUAUUGCCACAACCCUCAUUCCCAUCAUUGCAACACUAACUGCUGGGAAACAAAUCUCAGACUCCCGACAGUCUUCAGGUGUUAGGUGUUUGAAAUAUUCUGUGAGUUCCUGAAUCAAACGUGCUUCCCCUUCGUGAUACAGAGUACAAAUCCAUUCACUCCAGUUGACGAAAGAAGAAAAGCCCAGUCCAACAAAAAAUGUCAAAAACAUGAACUGUAAGAAACAGAUUAUCAUGCAGUUUUAUGAUUUUUAAAGUGAAGAACAUAGGUAUUUAUUUUAUGAAGACAAAAAACAUUGAUAAAAUAUAGUUCAAACUAGCACUCAAAAUAAUUUUUCAAAUAAUCGUAAUGUCCAUUCAACAUGAUUUUUGCCGUGGUAGAUGGAGGUAUCGGGGCAUAACCGAGGUCAUAAUUUACGAACUGCUUAAUAAUCUUCGAAAGUAUGAAGUCAUAAUCAAAAAAUGCUGACGUAAUAUAGAUUUACCUACAAUGUGCUACAAUUCCAGACUUUGUGUAUAAAUUAUUAUAUGGGAGUAUAUCUAAUAGGGAGACGCGAAAAUGCACACAUUCUAGAAAGAGCAAAAAUGUGGGUCUGCUUAUUUUCGUGAGAGAACAAUUUAAAAUUUGCCCACCGAAAAUCUAAGAUAAAUACCUCAUCAUUUGUAUUGUAAGCAUUACGAAACAAAACAAAUUUAUAUUGCAUAUACAUUUUCUUCAUAUUUUAUCAAUGUGCUUGUGUUACUCUCCAUAUGAGGGGUUGUUAAGUGGCACUGAAAAUUUGCGGAAAUUCCAAGUUUUACAACCUUAUUGUUUCUUUCGGUACAAUUAUUACGCAUAAAUAAAGCCAUAUACUGUUAAUAAUGUACAUCCGCUACUUUAGAUUUAUAAAUUACUUGCAUAGUGGAAAUUUGCUUGGAUUGGUUUCUAGUGGGAGUUUGUCGAGUUAUCAUGAGUCCUAUUAUUAUUUCCUUAUUACUUCUGGGUUUGUUUUCAGCAUCGGGAGCUUUCAAGCUAUUUCCAACCCCUCGUUGCGAGAACAACAAUAUGACUGGGUGUAUGAGAAUCAACGGAAUUAGUUAUCGUUAUGACCAAUCUACAGAAAAAUGCGAAACAAUAAAAAUAAAAUGGGGGACUUGCGAGGAUAGAAAUUUCUGGCCAAUCAAGGAGGUUGAUGAGUGCAUCAAAGAAUGUGAAGGGGCAAAGGCUUUCGAUACAUUCCAGACAAAAAGAGCCAGGAAAGGCGGAAUACAGAAAUUAUGAUGAACGAUCUUGUUAAAUGACUACCUAAAUUAAAUUAAAUUGGACUGAUGCUUGCUUGGGUGACAGGAUACUAUGAAGAAUACAUCAAACGCAGAUUAUUUGCUGCUCAUCAUAAAAAUUUUCAGUCCUAGAAACUGCAUUAGUUUGUAAUCAUUCGUGCAUAUAUUUUCAGUUAUGAAAAUAAACAAACUGGAAUCUAUAGAUGAGGUUAUGAGUCAAGUUUUUAGCAAUGCUUUUUGAAUUUAUUUUUUGGGGGUUUUGUUCAACUAUUACAUUUUAAAGAGAGAAGGAUUUUGAAAAUUACAAGUGUUUUUCAUUAGCUAUUGAUGAGCUGAAAUUUAGUCAUUGUACCCAGUUGCUCAAUGCAGA